GCACCGCGUGCGCAAAGCCCAGCUGACGACACACCACGGCGGCUGCCUUGGUGUCCCAGGCGUCGUCGCACACCGUGCCCCAGCGUCCGCCUAUGAACACUUCCACGCGACCGCGGCCGGGGCUCAAGCCUGCGGGCCGUACCAGACGCACCGAUCCGUUCUCGGGUUCGGGGACCGCGAACCUGAGGGGUAUGACCAGGAUGAGGAGACGAAUCCUUUACCCUGGAGAAGAUGAACAUUUCCAAGGCCAAGAGAUGACAAUGGAAUGAGGACCAGUGUUCCAUCUGCAUGUAUGCCUGCAAACCAGAAGAGGGCAUCAGAUCUCAUUACAGUUGGUUGUGAGCCACCAAGUGGUUGCUGGGAAUUGAACUCAGGACCUCUGGAAGAGCAGUCAGCACUCUUAACCUCUGAGCCAUCUCUCCUGCCUGGCCUUCUGGAUCUUGUUGCCUCCACUUCCUAAGAGCUGCUAUUAUAGGGAAUGUACCAACCACUCUCAGUUUUUUACCAUGAGCCUUUUUUAAGUCACUGUUGGAGGCACGUGCUUUCAUGCUCCUUCUCCACCUGUCAGGUCCAUGGGACAAACCUUCUGUCAUUGAGAAGUGGUCUCUCAGGCUUGGCUGUAAUCCUGAAAAUUCUGUUUCCCUCGCCCCACUCCCUCUGGCUGCCAGAUAACUCGAGUCAAAACUAAUGCUCUAAGACAAGAUUAUAACCCUCCAAGCU
rnacentral:lncRNA from 1 species